rnacentral:misc_RNA from 1 species
GUUAAUCUUUAUAAUUUAAACAAAGCAUGUGUUUAACUUGGUUUAUAAAGGAGUUAAGCUUGACGUGGUUUUUUAAUAUUUUAAAUAAGUUGAGUUAGAGCUUGGCUUGUUUAUAAAUUAAAUCAGUCAGUGAUAAGUUAAGCUCAAAUUUAGUAUAUUUUAAACGAGUCGAGCUUGAAUAAUUAAGUUCGGCUUGUCAUGUAAAUGCAAAA